rnacentral:rRNA from 1 species
UACGUAGGGGGCAAGCGUUGUCCGGAAUCAUUGGGCGUAAAGCGCGUGUAGGCGGCUCGGUAAGUCUGCUCUGAAAGUCCAAGGCUCAACCUUGGGAUGCGGGUGGAUACUGCCGGGCUCGAGUCCGGAAGAGGCGAGUGGAAUUCCUGGUGUAGCGGUGAAAUGCGCAGAUAUCAGGAGGAACACCAAUGGCGAAGGCAGCUCGCUGGGACGUGACUGACGCUGAGACGCGAAAGCGUGGGGAGCAAGCAGG